AUUUUAUUAUGACAGAGAGAUUUACGAUUCAGCACAAAGGUGUAAACAGGCUCAAUGGUAACAGUGUAUAAGUCGCGGGUCAGCGACUACCAACUGCUAUGCAAAUGCAGAAAAUAAUCCUGACAGUGUGGACAAUUCGCCUGUCAAACAUGGAGGAAGUCGCCGUCAUCUCCUAUAAAAGGCCUGCACUGGCUUGCACGACACGAUGCGAAUUAAGCGAGAGUUUGUACAAGCACGUGUGUGGUGGCCACUCAUCAUACUCUUCACAAUCCUUUUGUUGUGUCAUUUAUCUCCCGGCGCUGUCAAGGGACGCGCACGAGACAUUGUCCUAGGACUACGGGGAAAACUAAAACAAGCUAAGCCCUUCGGUCGGGAAUGACAGCCUCUAAGCUCCGGAAUUUGAAAUUUAAAUGCAGAAUUUCGUGACACUAAAGGAUAACGUCACAACUAACGGGUUUGUUGCUUGGAAAUCUGAUAAAAUUUGCGGAUUUCGAACGAAAUUUGGUGAGUAAAUAGCGGGCGAAAAUUAAAUUAAUCUCAACAGAAACAAAGUAAUUAAAGUUGGAAGGCAUUGUGAGGGUAAACCGACGCUCUGGAAAGUAUACUUGUAGACACAUCAUAAUUAAAUGGCAAUAAAAGCGUUACCUGAACUAUGAGGCUCUACAA